ACCAUGUCUCUAAUGAGUUUUGAGGCUCGCUGUCUAAUCUGAAGUAAAAAUGUCACCACAAGUCGGCCCCGGGCUGGCAGCUUCCAGCUAUGGCCUAUCUAGAAACCACAUAUCCAACUCACGCCUUCUGGUUGCUGGGGUGAAAAGGCCUCUUUAUUCUCCACAGGGAGAAGUAGAUGAGGGUUUGAGCUCAAACAAGGGGCCUGCCUUUUUUUGUAUGUGUGUCUUCCCCCCUGCCCGAAGCUACGUUUCCCCCCUCUUGUUAAAGGACCCCUUUAUUAUGACUUUAAUCUUGGAAGUUGGAGGGAGCAAUAAGCCUGGAGAAAUUGGAAAGAAAGAUCCCUCUCAGUGGGGAAAGGCCCCAGUCAAUGGUGUGUGAAAAGAGAAGGCAGCAAAGGGGAUUAGAAAUGUCAGCUUCAUGGGAAAUACUUGAUAUUUAAUAGCGUUAAUUGAUUAGCGCAAAGUCACUGACAUCCACAUCCUCCACGGGGUGAGCGGAGCCCCAUCCAGCACGCUUGUUGCAUGGAAUUAGAGCACAGGUCUAUUCAGAGCUACAUGAAAAAAUCUUGCAUAUGGCGGUGGUUGAAGUUCUCCAAAAUGUACUCGUUGGCAAAAGUGGCAUCACUAGAGAUAGCAGGGUUGACAUCUCUCCGGGGAUGAGAGAGCAAGCAACCAACAGGGACCAGUAUGCCUUAACACAUCAAAUAUACUGUAUAUACAGAAAGUCUUAAAUUUGCUCAGAAGUUGCUGGGAUUGAGGUUGAUGGAUACCCUUGUCCAGUGUUUCUUCCCAAUGUGUCUGGCUGUUUUUGGACUACAGUUCCCACCAUCCCUGACCACUGGUCCUGCUAGCUAGGAAUGAUGGGAGUUGUAGUCCAACAACAGCUGGAGACCCAAGUUUGGGAAACAUUGCUCUAAUCCAUAGAAGCAAGAAACCUGCCCUAGCUGAAGGAAGCAUCUGUAUUUCAUAUGAUGUCCUGGAUGCAGCCUAGUGCCCAUAAACCAAGGGCAGAGAACCUUUUCCAGCCCUAGGGCCACAUUUCAUUCUGGACAACCGUUCAAGGGCCACAUGCCAGUGGUGGAUGGGUCCAGCCCUAGGGCCACAUUUCAUUCUGGACAACCGUUCAAGGGCCACAUGCCGGUGGUGGAUGGGUCCACUUGAACGGUUGUCCAGAAUGAAAUGUGGCCCUAGGGCUGGAAAUGUAGGCAUGGCAAUUUAUAGAAAUGAAAGUGGCUAGGUUCCUGGUCGCUGUCCUUACCCAAAAGCGUCGCCAAGGAGCACCACAAGCUAAUUAAGGCGUAGUAUGCCAUUCCAUCUUAUAGUAGCUUAUUGUUAUAGUAGUGUUUUAGCGGCUGUUUUUUUCCCAUGUGCACAGGCUGUUAUUUAUGUCUUGUUUUUUAUCUGUAUGGGCCUACGGCCGUAAUAAUAAAUUAUUAUUAUUAUUAUUAUUAUUAUUAUAGAAAUGUGAUCUUCCUGUGGUAGGCUUGCUUCUAUGCAUACAUACAGAUCCCUCUUUAUCCUGCAUAUAGACAAGCAAGAGGCAUUCUUAGUUCAAAGGCAAGUUCAAGCCAGGCAAUAAAACCCCAGGAUGCAAAGGAAGGCCAGGAAAGGGUGUGGCCUGGGGAGAGUUCUAGGGGCCAGCUAGAGAGGCCCGAAGGGCCACAUUUGACCCCCAGGGCUGAGGUUCCCCACCCCUAUCAUAACCAAUAGUCUGCUGAGGUUGUAAAACUUUAUGCAGUAAACCAUCAUAAACUGUAACAGAGAGACAGCAUGGCUUCAGCUUGAUAUAUUUUUCCAUGUAGAAAAUAAGAUGUCCAGAGGAAGAGGCUAGCUUAGUCUUUUCCCUGCAACUUGGGCAAAUCAAACCCGAAAUGCUUUUUAUUAUUAUUAUUCUGCUGUACCUGCUCUGUUCUACAGGAAUUUGAAAUAAAUUGUUUUCCCAGUUAUAGCCCUCUAAAAUGGCCAUUUUCUAAAAGGGUUUCAGAAUAUAGCUUCCAAAGAUGGUUCCAUUUGAUUAAAAAUCCUGAGAGAACAAUAUGUGUUGAAUGAAGUUGUUUGGAAAUAGUUUUAGCUUAUCUUUAUCAAAUGCCAACAGGUUAACUGUGUUGAUCUGUUGCCGAAAGCAGUUCAGCGGCACCUUAAAGAUUUAUUCGGGCAAAAGCUUUCAUAACAAGAGCCCACAUUGUCAGAUGCAUGAAGCAGAUAUACAUGAGUAUAAAGUAAUAAUAAUAAUAAUAAUAAUAAUAAUAAUAAUAAUAAUAGCAAGCAAAAGGGCUGUAAAAUUAUUCCACCAUCGCUUCACAACUCUGACUAAAUUUGAUUCUUAGAACUACUUCAUGAGACAGUUUUGCAAUCAGCUGAACAUUUUAGGAGCUUCACUGUAACAGAAUGGGCAAAAAAUGGGGAAACUGAAAAAAAGUCACACAGAAGGGCAGAGGCUAAGAAAUGGAAAUAUUAGGUGUAGACCUCACUCAAGGAACAAUAAUUGGAUAUCUGUGCUUUUGAGGCGCAAUGUUCUCACUAAGUUAUCCCGGGGGUACAAAACUCUGUUCUAAAGUAAUCAAAUAAAAUAACAUUAUGUUAGACUACAUAGAACUCUGGCUUGAUCCAGCUGGGCUCUUCUUAUGUACUUAUGAGGGGGCAUUUUAGCUUUUUUAGUGAGCAUUCGGUUCAUUGUUCAUUGUUACAUUUUUAUCCUGCUCUUCCUCAACAGAGCCCAAGGCAGCGUACAUGGUCUCCUGCCACCCAUUUUAUCCUCAGUACAAGAACCCUGUGAGGUAAGCUAGUCUGAAAGUUGGUGUCCAACUCAGAGAUGUUCACUGAGAUUCAUGGCUGAGUAGGAUUUCGAACCACAUGCUAGAAAUGGAAUCCUACACUUGCAGGGGGAAAAAGGUUAAGAAUUGACUACAAAGAAACGUCAUAUUUCCACUGAAUAAAUUGUCUGCUUUUGUUCACUUCUUAAGUAACUGUGGGCUGCAGAGAUGCUUUUUCUCCUCUUGGUAGGCUUGGGCCCUCAUGCUAAAGAUGCUUGCAGGAAGGUAGAAUGUUAUAAAUGUCUGACCGAGAACCAUUUUCAUUGUGCCUGCAUCACUUCUGCACUCCAAGUCACUCUCCGUGUGAACCGCUAGAGGGAUCUGUCUGCCUCCUCAUCGAAAAUGCAGCGGGCAGCUGUGAAGGACACUUGGUGGUGCUGUUGCCUCAGUCAUUGCAACAGCCACCCAAUUUUGUCAUAACCAGAAGUUAUCAGGGCUAAAAACAGCAAAUACACCUCAUGUUAGUGGGGCAAAAGACUGAUAGUUAUGCUUUACCUUAGCUUUGAAUAUAUCUUCUAGAACCUUCCAAAGAAAUCACGCAAAGAAUGGUGAAGAUACUUGUGAAUUAAGAAGUAGCUUAAGAAUUAAGGUACUUCUGACACUUAAUGCUGUUAUUGAUAGUUAUUUUUGUGUUUUUUAUAUUUUAAACAGCCCUAUGUUCGUCGGAUGAAGGAUAGUAUAAAAAUUCUAAUGAUAAUAAAUAUAAACAAAUAAAUCACCAUCAAUAAUAAUAAAUGAAUGGCCAUCAAUGCCAAUCCACAUAUCUCUGCCCUGAGCCCAAGAAGCUUGCAAUCAAAAUCAGGAAUUUUCAGACUUUCCACCCCAAGGGCCCACUUGAGAUGGCUAAAAAGUAAGAGAGAUCUACUAAUCACAAAAUAGCAGUGCAAAGGAGGGGGCAGUAAUAAAAUGAAGGGUGAUGGAAGUGGUAGAGUGACGCAGCCUCCCUUUUUAGGCAGAAUUUGGCGAUCCAGAAACUAAGAAGUCUUUUUAAAAGUUUCGAUUCCACAUAUUUCAUACCUGUUCCAUAACAUAUUUUUAUCCAUCUCCAGUCAUUUCCUCUCCCCUUUGCCUUUCACCUGCAUCUUCACAACAACAACAACGCCAAACCAAUGGGAGCCCCAAAAUCUAAUUCUAAUUUUUUCACCUAUGUCUGUUUUAAAAACCUUAAUGAUUUUAUUAUUUUUAAUGGUGCUGGUUCUGUGUAUAUUUGCUUUAACUGGAGUGUGGUUUUAGGUGCGUUGCAGUUCCAAAUUUAUUUGUAAAAGCUCUUGGAGAGCUAUUUUGAUAAUACGGUCAUUAAUCUAAAUAAACAAAUAAUACUUUUGAAGACUGAGAAGUAGACCUAAUAUUGCGGGAUGCAUUUUGGCAUUGCUUUCUCAGAUACAUCAACCCUCCCUUCCAUCUACCCUUUGGCAGGAGGACCUUCACUUGCCACAUCUCUUGUUGAGGAAGACAACUCUGGCAUGGGUUUUAACAAUGUUAAAACCACAUCUUCAUGCACCCAUUUUUGUGUUCUAUUUCUUGAUGCUGGGUGUAGCCCUCUUCACACUCCCUCUCAUACACAUAAGAACACACACAGCCUCCCCCCAUAACUCUCACACAAACACAGUGCUGUAAGAAAAAUGUCAAGUUUAAGGUGAGCCCACAUUCCGUUUUCAUUGCCAUUUUCACUGAUGCCAAGGGCAGUUUGAGUAUUAUUGAUAUGCCGCUGCUUUGAUUACCGUGGCUGCAGGCUUUCAAUGACUUAAAAAGGUAAAUCAGUUGCUAGGACCAGUUUUAACUCCUGGGUCUGAAAGUUAAAGAACACCCCCAUUGUUUAUUGGAGGUUCAUGUUUGUUGCAGCAAGAGGUGUGUGGAUUAACAAGGUGACCUAUCUUUUACUGUUACCUUUGCAAAUUCUCCAUUUCCUUGCAAUAUUUUUUUAAAAAGGAAUCUAUAUUAAUGCUUUAGUGAUAUAUGUAUAUGCAAUUCACGAACCAAGAGGUAGAUAAAAGGCAGAGAAUUAGUCAACUGAAAAUCCAUUAAUUGGUUGAAAGCCCUCUUAAUUAGUCAGCAUAGAGUCUCUUCAAAUUAUGCAGCAUGCUGGAAGCUGCCGUUUCGAUCUGCACAGGCAGAGGGCACAAGUGGUCAGCAAAGGAAUGAAGGUGAGGACUGAAGAUGAAGUCAGUGCAUUUGAUGCGCUUUCCAGAAGGAAGGCUGAAGAGAAAAUGCAGGAGUUUAAUUGAAUUGUGUGAUGGGAAGUUAUAAAGGCAACCCUUCAGUCCACCUGCAUUUUGUUGUGGAGGACUGCACCAAAUGUUUUUCUUUUUCUGAAUGCUGCAACCCCAGAGUCGGCCAUGACUGGACCUAAUGGUCAGGGGUCCCUUUACCUUUAUAUAGCAAAAAAUGAUGACUGGUCCACACAUGGAUGUGCAUUGCAUUAUACUUCAUGGUGUUGCCAGUUACAUGACAAUAUGCUGUAGAAUGUGGGCAGGGAUCACAGAUCAGACACAUAACACAGACUUUGCAGGCAAGAGGCUCAAGGUUAAAUCCUGGCAUCUCCAGUUCAAGGAUCAGAUAGCAGGUGCCUGAAAAGAUCUCUGCCUGGAGAGCUGCUGUCUGUCGGAUUAAACAAUGUUGGGCUAGAUGGAGAAACAGUUUGACCUGGCUUGAAGCAGCUGCCCGUGAGUGAAUUGUCUUUGCUGAGAAGGUCUGAGUGAGACAAGGUGAGAUAAUAAUAUGAAAACUCCUCAAAUUGUAUAAUGGCAAGCAAAGCCACCCCACUGGAUAUGCCGAGAGCAUUUCCAUCAGGUUUCUGCCUUCCCUUAACUGCCCCCUGGCAGCAACUAUUCCAUCAGGCUGCAGAAGAGGGAGAGAACAGGGAAGCAGGGCCACACCAUUAGUCUUUUGAAGGACCAGCUCCAUCAAAUGACUCUUUCUCUCAACUGUCCCCUGGCAGAAGCCAUUCCGUCAGGCCGCAGAAGAGACCCAGCAGGGUCCACUUCCAGAUUGUCACCCUGCAGGCAGGCGUUGUCUUCUUUCUCCUGAUCUUACAUGAGCAGCUCUGGGAGCCCUUUUGGCAAAAGAUGUUUUAAAUAACUAAACAAACACUGACGUGGUGCUGCAAAUGCAGCCACCGAGUUAUGGCUCUGCAUGCACAAGCGACACUGUCAACUUCCUUCCUGUUGACUAAAGAGCUUAUAUUCCUGCAUGCCGAGAAUGUUCGAUUUACUCUCUCACCAUAGCUGUCAACGUUUCCCUUUUUUUAAGGGAAAUUCCCUUAUUCCGAAUAGGAUUCCUCGCAAGAAAAGGGAAAAGUUGACAGCUAUGCUGUCUCACAGAUACCCCAUUUCAUUUCGUUCCUCGUGUUCCUUGGGAUUGACACAUAGCAGCCAUUAUCCAUCUCAGAUUCAGCCUUGUAAGUGUGGAAGCUACACCUGCCGCCAGCUGUUGACAGUUUCCUCUGAUUGCUGCUUGUUCCCUCUUUCUUGUCUAAUCAAGCCUCAAGGGAUGGGCUGCACAUCACUGAUGUCAGUGCUAGACCUCACACAUUGCCUCUUUCUUAGUGCAUUAGCAUCAGUUGGGUUCACAUCUUUGUAGAUUGUGAGCACACAUUUGAAGCGCCAUCAUAACACCCUUAUUUAGAAGCAUGCCCUUUUAACUCUCAAGGGUGAACCUUUGGGUAUGAUCUGGCGAGGCUCCGCUUACGACUUCAGUGGUACUUUCUUCCCUGGAAGACAGGAUCAUGUGUUAUACAUAAAGGUAAAGGGACCCCUGACCAUUAGGUCCAGUCAUGACCAACUCUGGGGUUGGGGUGCUCAUCUCACUUUAUUGGCCGAGGGAGCCGGCGUACAGCUUCCGGGUCACGUGGCCAGCAUGACUAAGCAGCUUCUGGCAAACCAGAGCAGUGCACAGAAACGCCGUUUACCUUCCCGCCAGAGCGGUACCUAUUUGUCUACUUGCACUUUGACAUGCUUUCGAACUGCUAGGUUGGCAGGAGCAGUCCCUGACUCAGGUUAUACAUGCUGCUCUGUAAAUAUGGGUUACAGCGUUUGGGACUCUAGUUUAGAGAAAAGGCGAGUAAGAGGAAGCAUGACAUAAGUGUAUAAAAUUAUGCAUGGCCCUGGAGAAAGUGGACAGAGGAACAUUUUUAUCUCCCUCUCUCACAAGAACUCGUAGUCAUCCAAUGAAUCUGAAUGUGGGAAUAUUCAGGACAGAUAAAAGAAAGUCCUUCACACAGAGAGGAGCUAAACUAUGGAACUCGCUUCCACCGGAGGCAGUGAUAGAAUCAUAGAAUCAUAGAGUUGGAAGAGACCACAAGGGCCAUCGAGUCCAACCCCCUGCCAAGCAGGAAACACCAUCAGAGCACUCCUGACAUAUGGUUGUCAAGCCUCUGCUUAAAGACCUCCAAAGAAGGAGACUCCACCACACUCCUUGGCAGCAAAUUCCACUGUCGAACAGCUCUUACUGUCAGGAAGUUCUUCCUAAUGUUUAGGUGGAAUCUUCUUUCUUGUAGUUUGGAUCCAUUGCUCCGUGUCCGCUUCUCUGGAGCAGCAGAAAACAACCUUUCUCCCUCCUCUAUGUGACAUCCUUUUAUAUAUUUGAACAUGGCUAUCAUAUCACCCCUUAACCUCCUCUUCUCCAGGCUAAACAUGCCCAGCUCCCUUAGCCGCUCCUCAUAAGGCAUCGUUUCCAGGCCUUUGACCAUUUUGGUUGCCCUCCUCUGGACACGUUCCAGUUUGUCAGUGUCCUUCUUGAACUGUGGUGCCCAGAACUGGACACAGUACUCCAGGUGAGGUCUGACCAGAGCAGAAUACAGUGGCACUAUUACUUCCCUUGAUCUAGAUGCUAUACUCUUAUUGACCACCAACUCUUAUGGCUAUAAAAGAGGAUUAGACAAAUUCACGGAGGAGAGGGCUAUUGAUGGCUACUAUCCAUGAAGAGAUGGGGGUGGCGCUGUGGAUUAAACCACAGAGCCUAGGACUUGCCAAUCAGAAGGUCGGCGGUUCAAAUCCCCGCAAUGGGAUGAGCUCCUGUUGCUUGGUCCCUACUCCUGCCAACCUAGCAGUUUGAAAGCACGUCAAAGUGCAAGUAGAUAAAUAGGUACCGCUCCGGCAGGAAGGUAAACAGCGUUUCCGUGUGCUGCUCUGGUUUGCCAGAUGCGGCUUAGUCAUGCUGGCCACAUGACCCAGAAGCUGUAUGCCGACUCCCUUGGCCAGGAGAUGAGCACCUCAACCCCAGAGUCAGCCACGACUGGACCUAAUGGUAAGGGGUCCCUUUACCUUUACCAUUAUCCAUGAUGGCUAUGCUCUGCCUCCUCAGUUGGUUGCUUCUGAAUACCAGUUACUGCAGACCACAGGAGGGGAGAGGGCUCUUGUGCUCGAAUCCUACUUGUGAGUUUCCCACAGGCAUCUGGUUGGCCACUGUGAGAACAGGAUGCUGGACUGGCAUUGCCUUACACUGAGCUCAGUAUUGUCUACACUGGCUGGCAGUAGCUUUACAGGUUUCAGGCUGGGGGCAUUCCCAGCCCUAUUUGGAGAAGCCAUCAGGGACUGAAGCUGGAACCUUCCACUUGCAGGGCAGAGGCUCUACUGCUGCGCUAGGGCCCUUCCUAAUGGCCGCAUAAACUCAGUUUGAUGGCAGCCAUUUUCCUUGACUCUAAUGCUAUUUUACAGAGCUCGUGCUAAACCACAUCACCCCUUAAUUAGCCACUCCUUGUUGGUUUGACGGCUUCUUUGCCUUUAUCCUGGAUAUUUGUCGGGCUGCCUGUCUCGCCAGCGGAGCACAGCCGCUCCCUCAGAGGGUCUUGCAAUCUCGGCUGUUAUGUCUGGAAGGCUGCUCUGGGUUUUGGCUCCGGGGUCCCAGCCCUUUGGAUCUGCAUAGGCUUGUAUGGGAAUCUGAGUCCCCUUUUGACUCUUGUUUCCUUAAAGCUUAAAUUACCCGCUGAGUUGUGGGCUCGAAAAAUCCUCUGGCUGAACAUCUUUCAGUGCCAAAGAAGAUUAGCUGAGCGAUUAGUUCCACACACCUCUCGGACCGGUUCCUGUUUCUUUUCUCUGCUUUCAAAUGUAGUUUUGCAUAAUAUACAUAAAGGCUUGCAGUAGAUGGCUGGAGGCGGGUUGGGGGUGGGGAGGAAAAAGAACAUCCUGAUAGGGCUUUGUUUUGCUUUGGAUUAUCUUACACGGGGUGAAACCAGAGAGGCCUUGCUAUUAAUUUUCAUGCUUUAGGGCAUCACUUAAUCUCUGCAGUGGUUAGGAAGGAAUCUUAUCCCUUCCAAAAGAGCACUUUCAGGUGUCAUUUUACUGAGGCCAGCCCACCUACUGGACAGGUGGGGCUUGAUCCAGAAUGCUGAGCCCUGCAAGGGAAGAUUUGGGAGACAGUUUGCAAACUCUGCCCCUGGGCAGCACCUUCAGUCUUCCUGUCUUGGACAGCAGAGCAGUUCACUAGUCUAACGGGGCAAGCCAGGCCCUCUGGAAAUGAUGGGGAUAUUGUAAUGGGUGGAGAAGGGGUUUAGAUAACACCCUGAAAGUGGAUUCUGUCAUUUACACAGUGAAGGCUGGUCCAUAUGGGCAAAUGGGACACUCUUUUACUCAGUACAGUCUUCCCUCAAUCAGCCCCCACCUAAGAACAAACGAAGAGCCUGCUGGAUCAGAUCAAUGGCCCAUCUAGCCCAGCAUCCUGUUCUCACAGUGUCCAACCUGUGGGAAACUUGAAAGAAGGACUAGUGCACAAAAGCCCUCUCCUCUCCUCUGGUUUCCGGCAACUGGUAUUCAGAAGCAUUUCUAAUUUUUAGGGAAGUGCAUAGUUUGGGUCUAGAUUGAACACGCUGGCCCAUGGCCCCACCUAUCCCCCCCCCAGUCAAAUUCUCCAUAGUUAGUGCAACAAGCAGAUUUUGGAUAUUAUGAAGAGGCAGAAUUGCUUAACUGUACACCCACAAAUCAGACUGGGGAAAACACUGGCUGUAGUAGAGUGAAAGAGGGUGAUACAAACGCUCUCAAAGAUGGACACUAAAUGAGAAAGUGCAGAAAAGAAGAGAAAUGUAACUCACUUGUAUGGAUUACUGUCUAGGAAUGGAAAAAUUGGACACACACACACACACACAUACUCUUGAAGCUUAUCCAGCAAUCAAAACAAAUUUCCCCAAAUCAGUAGCAUGCACAUGCUCUACCCAUGAAGACACGCACCAUUUAAAUGUUCUCAUACUUGUUGCAAGUGUUUACAUAUUUCAUUGCACUCAGGCACAUGCAGGAAGAUACAGAAGUCCUGUCAUUGCCCAUGUUCUAAGUACACAUGUGGUCUGAAUCAUCUCUCUUCGGGAUAUACAUCCAUUUCUUUUUUCGUACAUAUCCUGACUUGAAUAUCGCUUUUUGCCUUAUCUGAUAAUUUUCAGAGAAUUUCUAACAUGAGUUCCAGAAGUGGGGUCUGGUUGGCCUGAUGCAGUUUCCAGUUUCUUUUAUUCAUUUACAUCCCUCUCCUCCUCCAUAUCACUUAAUAAACUCCCCAACCCACCCACCCCAAAGCAUGUGAUUGCAUGUAAAGUAGUAUUCAAGUUUGUGUGGGAGAGCAGUAUUUUAUUGAAGUUCUAAUGAAGUGAGGGUACACUCCUGGUACAACAUUUCCCCUUCAGGUAUUUCAGAACUUAGAGAUUCAGCAGAGAAUUUGGAUGGUGAGGGUGGGAUUUUGGAAAUAUCUUUUUGGUGCACUGUGUCCACUUAUGGGCAACACAGUUUACGAUGUAUAUUGACAAGAUGAAACAUGUGCAGAGGAGGGCUGCCAAAAUGAUAAAGGGACUGGAAACCAAUCCUGAUGAGGAACAGUUGAGGGAGCUGAGUAUGUUUAGACUGAGAUGUGAUAGAAUAGCCAUAUUUAAAUAUUUGAAGGGCUGUCACCUGGAAGAUGGAGAAAGCUUGCUUUCUGUUGAUCCAGAGGGUAGGACUCAAAAUGAUGGAUUCAAAUUGUAAGAAAGGAGAUUCUGUUUAAAUAUUAGGAAGAACCUUCUGACAGUAACAGCCAUUUGAUGGUGGAAUGGGCUUCCUGAGAAGGUGGUGGGUAGACUCUCCUUCACUAGAAGUUUUUAUGCACAACUGUAAAUCAGAGCACUAGCCCAUUAAGAUCCCUGCAAUCCCUUGCAGGUCAGGGUUCUUGACAUCAUUAGGUCCUGCCUGGGGAUGUAAGAGCUCAAUGGAAUCUUGUUGGAGCAACAUCUACUUCCCCACAAGAGCUGUCCAAGGUCCUGUAGAACUCUCUCCUGUUAUCUUGAACUUAUUGCCCAAGACAAUGCUUCUCAUGAGGGAUGAUUCCCUGCUCAAGUCCCAGGAUUUGUUUAGUCUCCAUUGAACAGCAAAGCCUUGUCAACCAAAUCUUAAUCACCAGAAACUUAUGUGAAACUCCUAGGAGAGUGUCCAACAUUAAAAAAAUUAAUUACAGGUAGCUGUAUUGAUCUGUUAGAGAAAAGUGACCCUAAUCCAGAUUAGGAGCCCUGCAGCUCCUUUUUGCACACAAAAAGACAUGACAAAUUUUAGCACAUUUCUAAGCCAUGUGCUUAAAGUUUUCAAGUAGUUUAACCCUUGUACUUCAGAAGUAAUACUUCCUAGUUAAGUAUGCUUGGGGCUGCAGCUUUAGAGCAGUUUCACAUGUGAGGCUUUCAUAUAUGCAAACCUCUCUCAGUUUAAAAGUUACAUGAACUUUAAGUGUUGCUAAUGUUUGAGAUGUUUGUCAAGCUGACACCCCUCACCUAAGAAUAAAGCCAGCUGGGGAUAACCUGCAAUUCUUCUUACUUUGGUAUGAUGGGUGAGUCCUCAUGUAGAGUCCAGCUCUUAGCCUCUCGUCUUGCUCCACAAUGGGGCCUCUGUUAUUUCCCUGUGCUCUUAGGAGACAGUGUGGGACUGCUUGAAAUGGUAGCUAUCCAUUCAGCUUAUGGGGUGGAGCUUGGCUUGAAUCACUUCAUUAUCGGAUUGCAAGCCUCUGUGGGCUGAAAUUAGCUUUGAAAGUGUGACCCAAGCAGAGAAGUUGGCAUGAGUGGGCUGCACUCCAGUCUUCCUCCAAGACUUUCUAGGCAGUGCCAAGGAGUGUCCACCACAUUAUCCCCCGCCAUUUCAACUUUAACACUGUUGGGAAAGAUGAGUGGGAUCCUAGGAGACAGAGAAACGCUUAGCAAGGUCCAGGCAGUAUACUAAUAACUAACCCGUUCCUUGCUCUAAAAUAAAAUAAAAUAAAAUAUGGAAAUAAGAUUGCUAAAUUCUGGAGAAUGAGCAAUACGUGAACAUUUGUUUGCUUUUUUAAGACACAUAUUGCACAGAGUUGGUUCCAAUUCACAGCCUCUGUUUACAUUGCAAAGACUCCCACACUUUGCCCUAGUUAUGAAACUAUGGAAAAGAUUUUCCUUUCCUCUGUGGCCCCUUUAAAGCCUCAUGCAGGGCCCAGUGGAAAACAGACGUGCAGCUGGUGGAAUUUAACAACAACCCACGUUUAUUUGUCAGAGGGCCUUUCUGGGCUGGUGUGUUAAGGUCUGAAAAAAUAUCUUUAAAUAAAACCCCAAGGUUAUUAGCUAAUCUUUAGCUUUCAAUUUUACUAUACCAUUGUGAGUGAUUUCCUAUUUGAUUGUUGGUUUUAAAACAGUUUGGUCGAACAGUAUUUUCAAUUCAAAGCUAUAAGGAGGGAACGGGUUUCUGAGAACGGCUGGCAAAAUAUCUAAAAGUGUGAGCAGGAAGAGACAGGAGGAACACAUUUUUCUGCCAUUAUUUUCAAUUCAAAGCUAUAAGGAGGGAACGGGUUUCUGAGAACGGCUGGCAAAAUAUCUAAAAGUGUGAGCAGGAAGAGACAGGAGGAACACAUUUUCCUGCCAUUAUUAUUAUUAUUAUUAUUAUUUCUUACCUGCCCGUCACCAUAAGAUCACAGGUACUGAAUACACACACACACACAGAGAGAGAGAGAGAGAGAGAGAGAGAGAGAGAGCUUUUUUUCUGGGGGGGAUGCAGGGAUAUGCAUACACCUAAACAUUUUGUAAAUCGAAGUUUGGCCUCAUUGAGGGGCAGUAUUUCAAUAUGAGUAGGAAAAUGAAGGUACCCCUAAACAUUUUUUUAAGAAAAAAAGCACUGCAUGUAUCUUACCAGGUAAACAGUCAUGGCUCCCCUCCCCAAAGAACCCUGCGAACUUUACUUUUUGCUUGAGUUUCAGUACAAGCAGAAUUUAGUACAAGCAUGGGGCUUGACUAUUUGAUAUUUAUUAAAUGUAUUUUUUGUGUAUAAUUUUGCAUACGAAUAAUCAGCCUUUUUUUUUAAAAAAAAGGCAAUUUAUUAGUAGCUCAGACAUAAGCAAGCACAUGGUACAAAAGGUGGUCUAAUGCCAAUGCAUUCUCAUUGGAUCAAAACCACCAUUUUCUGCGUAUGAAUUGGUUCAAAGCAGAUUCCUCCUCCCUCCAUAGUCAGUUUCCAUUCAGCCCUCUGACUUUCUGCCGGAAACUAACUAACUUUGGAUCAAGACCAUCCCAUUGGAUCAGGACCAUCCCAUUGGAAUGAAGCCCCAUCGAUUUCGUGGGAACAUACUUUCAGUGACGUCCGCUUCUGAGCAGAUCCUUUCCAAAUCAAAGAGCUGCUAUCCCACAUAUAUUUUCCUAACAGGAUCCCAACAGAUGUAAUUCAUGGUUUUUCUUUUCUUUCCAUUGGGGACUUCUUAAAAAAAAGGUCUCAUUUUCAAAUGUCUGUUCGGUUUUGCCCAAGAAACAGAUGUCCCCCCUCCCGGCAAAAAAUGCCCUGUUGCAGCGAGACCUGGGGGCGAAUGGGAUGUCAUCAUACCCCACAUUUGUCAGCCUCAAACAGAUGUUCAUUGCAAAAGAAAAGCAAGGGGAAAGAAAGUGUUGGCCCUCAACAGCUGUCUUGCACUUAUCACAGCCCAGAUAUCUGUUGGCUAAGCAGACUGCAAGGAUCCCGUGCAGCCAAAAUAAAUAUAAUACAAGGGGAAGGAGGAGGAUUGGAGCACAAAUAUGCAUGACUGCCUGGAGUUUGUUUCCUAAUUUGUUAGGAUGUUUGUGUCUGUCUGUGAACUUCUUAGGACAGGUUCACUUACCAAGGUGGAUAGGUGCACUGACAAAACACAACAACAACAAAAAUCACAGUAUUGAUAGUGACUAACAAGACAGCAUCUUAAAAAGUUGAGACAUCACCUUGCCAACAAAGGUCCGUAUAGUAAAAGCUAUGGUUUUCCCAGUAGUGAUGUAUGGAAGUAAAAGCUGGACCAUAAAGAAGGCUGAUCGCCGAAGAAUUGAGGCUUUUGAAUUAUGGUGCUGGAGGAGACUCUUGAGAGUCCCAUGGACUGCAAAAAGAUCAAACCUCUCCAUUCUGAAGGAAAUCAGCCCUGAGUGCUCACUGGAAGGACAGAUCAUGAAGCUGAGGCUCCAAUACUUUGGCCACCUCAUGAGAAGAGAAGACUCCCUGGAAAAGACCCUGAUGUUGGGAAAGAUGGAGGACACAAGGAGAAGGGGACGACAGAGGACGAGAUGGUUGGAUAGUGUUCUUGAAGCUACCAGCAUGAGUAUGACCAAACUGCGGGAGGCAGUGGAAGACAGAAGUGCCUGGCGUGCUCUGGUCCAUGGGGUCAUGAAGAGUCGGACACGACUAAACAACUAAACAACAACAAGAAGAAGAAGACAGAAAUUUUAAAUUUAUAUAGCAAAACAUUUUGGCCCUCACCUUUAUCUGUUAGGAAUCUAAUGUUAGAAGUCAUGGACAUCCAGAGAAGCUGAAUCUUGGAAGGUUCUGGACAGAUAAAGCAAAGUCCUUCGUGCAGUGCAUAGUUAAACUAUGGAACUCGCUGCCACAAAAGGCAGUGGUGGCCACCGAUUGGGAUGGCGUUAAAAGAGGAUUAGACAAAUUAAUUGAGGACAAGCAUGUCAUCAGCUACUAGCCAUGAUGCCUAUGCUACACCUCCACCAACAGAGGUUUUAUAAUUCUGAAUUAGGGUUGCCACACAUCCGGAAUUUCCUGGACAUAGCUGGUAUUUGGCCCUCUUAAACAGCAUUCGGACGGAAAUUGCUGAAAUAUCUGGACAUAUUGGCAGCCCAUGUCGGAAGUGUAGAUUUUGGCGGAUUUCAUUAAAAAUAGCUCAACCACUUUGCCAAAAGAAGAAGCUUUUUUGUCUGGAUUUUCACUUUGUGAUAUGGCAACCCUAUCUGAAUAUCAGUUGCUGGGAAUCACAGGUAGGCAGAGUGUUGUUGGGCUCAUGUCCAGGUUCCCAUUGGCUUCCAGCUGGCCGCUGUGAGAAGAGGAUACUGGACUAGAUGGGCCAUGGCCUGAUCCAAGAGGUCUCUUCUUAUGUCCCCAUGUUUCUAGUGCACAGUGUAAAAGCUUAAGAAAGCUAAAUAUAAGAGGGCAUGAAGGAGUGAUCACCGGAUAUUGCCAGAAACAAAAUUUCAAAGAAAAUUUGGAAGUUAUUCUUAAGUGCAACAUCAUGAGAAUUGGGAAAGAAUAUCAGAAAUUUCAGAUAAGACUAGGAAUUUGGGUAAAUGGGUGGAAGGCAGUAAAUCCUCAUGCAUAGGGAGGGGCAAAUUCAUCAGUUUUGUUUUUUCUCAGUUUCCCCAUUUUAAAUUCAUUUCUCCAUAUUUCCAUAUAAGUUUGAUAAUCACUAUAUAUAUGGUCUUCAUGGAAAUCCAUCGGUAUUUUAGUGCAAACUUAUUAUAACAUGCACAUUUUUUAAUCCAACUUUGCCUCACAUACACAUUUUUGCAAAGCGCUUUUUCCUUAAUACAAUGCAUUUUUAUAUGAUAUUUUCAUUAACCUUUGCAUUUAUAUUGUUGUGACUGAAUGGGGGCAGGGGAGGUUAGCCUUCAUGAGGCCUUAGUUCCCUGCAAUUCUCGGUGUCCUGGAUCGAGCAAGGGUUAAAAUCUAAUGGAUGAGUCCAUUGUUGAAGUAGCCAAGCCAGCUUCUUGGUGGGUUAAUGGGACCAUUAUUAUUAUUAUUAUUAUUAUUAUCAUCAUCAUCAUCAUAAUCAUCAUCAUCAUAUCACCCUAUAUCAGCUAAGUUUGAUUUCUGCUUGACUAUGGGAGAAGCAAUACCUUCUGCAGCAUUAAUGCUGUGAGCCCCUCCAUCUUAGGCUCAGGUUGUAUACCGGUGUAAAUAAACCAUAUAUUAUAAAUACACCACAACAUUCUCUGUCCCUCAUUCCAAGGAAAUUGGAGCCUGAGCAAGUACCUCUCACUGCUCAGAGAUAGGGGUGGUGUGCAGCAGCAUAGUAUAUGCAUUUUUGUAUACAUUACUUGGCUAGGGAAUUGCAUUGCAAAAUUCAAAUUUCAAAUAAGAUGGCUGCAUUUUGGGUUUGUAUAUUGAUAUGCAAAUUGCAAAAUAGGUACAUGGGCUUAUCUUUAAAUGCAAACCACAUCAAAUUUCUCCCACAUCCCUUCCCAUGCAGCAGUUUAGAAUUCAUAAAUCAUCCCAAAUUCACCAUUGAGUAUGAACUAAAAGCACAAGGCUAUUUAUUCUGCCUUUUUGACUGUCUUUAUCCAGGCAAAAAGGUUUUCGUUUUGUUUUUUUAAGAGGUAGCUCUUGCAGAAUCCCAUUAGAUAAAUAUAAUUGCCUGCAACAGCAUGCUAUCAGCACUGAAAAUAUCUCUUCGGAGCAGUGUUGAGAUGUACGGCAGGCUGUGCCAUGCAUGCUAAAUGAGGAUGCAUUUAUACAUGUGCAGUGGAAAUCGGAGCCAAAAAUCACACACAAACACACACAUAUAGCUAGGCAUCUCCCAAAGGCAGAAACAGAGGCAGUGGUUUAUCAGGACAGGUAGCAAAAGGAAAAAAGAAGGAUAUUUCUCUGGCAAAGAAGUCCAACUGGAGCAUUUCUCUGUCUUCGUUUUUGGCACUUGGAAAAUGAUCAGGUUCCUGGUGCUCUUUCUGAUUAUCAUCACCUAUGAGCAUCCUUUCCCUCAAUUUGUUUCUAACAAGGGCUUUCAUCAGGUGCUUGGAGGAGAGGAAAGAGAUGGGAGGCAGUAAUGUUGCAUUGCUAUGGAAACAGAGAUUAUAUUGUCCAGGGCAGCAGCAAAACAAAGGGGAAAGGGAAAAAAAAAAUCUUAAAAGACCUAGUGCACAAGUGGAACAAUAAUAUUAUCCCCAAAUGAUGUGUCCAAAUUGAAAUCAGCUGCAGGCCUUUGACUCAGCAGUCCCAAACAGGCGGAGGAGCUACAAGAAUGAGAAGACUGGAUGUUGUGGAAGAGCCGAAAGGUGAUACCCUGAGAAGAAAUUAACUUCUUAGCCAGGUGGCCCCCUCAAAUCCCCAAACCAUUGUCAUCAGUUUUGUUACUGCACCUCUGGGACUUCCAGCUCACCCAAUAUUAGUCGGGGCUAACAAGAGGCAAGGACAACACACUCUGUACAUGCUUAAAGGCGAUUACCGGUAUUUCAAUAGAUCAUCACUCCUAUGGCACAGUACAAAAUAAAACUCAAUAGCUUCCAGAGCCUCCUCUAGGUAAUGGCAAAGUGCUAGGCUGUGAAUACAAGGUAUUAAAAAAUUAAAAAUCAGGGUUUAGUAAAGGAAUGGGGAACCUGUAGCCUUACAGAUGUUGUUGGGACUCCUAUCAGUCACAGCUAGCAUGGCCAAUGGUUGGGGAUGAUGGGAGCUGGGAUUCAGCAACAUCUGGAGGGCACCAGCUUAAGGAAGGCUGCCCUGUAUGUUUGUAUAACCUUCAAAAUAGAAUUGGAGGACUUAGAUUAGGCAAAUUCAUAGAGGAGAAGGCUAUGAAUGGCUGCUAGCCACAAUGGCUAUGCUCUGCCUACAUGGUUGGAGGCAGCAAUGCUCCUGAAUAUCAGUUGCUGGAAAACACAGGAGGGUCCUGUUUGCAGGCUUCCCACAAGCAUCUGGGUACCACUGUAAGAAGAAUAGGAUGCUGGUCCAGAUCAGGCUCUUCUUAUGCUCUUACAUUCUUCAUUGCAGCUACCUUGCUAGACAGAGAUUUUGUGUGUGCUCUGCAAAUGGACAUCAACUGGGGAAGCUGUUCUCAUUUUCUGUCUCUAGGCUAAGCACGUAUAUCCCUUUUGGAUGUAACUGUGAGGUCACUGGUCGUGGGCAACGGAACUCCUUCAUUAUUUAUUUUGAUUCUUACCCCCACCCUGCUGCCAAGCACAGAGGUGCCUAUACACUUCCCUAAAACACUCCUACUAAAAACAUUCUUAUUUAGACAAGCCUACCCAGGUGCUUAGAAAGUUGGCAUGAAUUUUAGCCUGUUUGGGUAUUUCAACUUGUAUGUUUAUAACUGUGCCUGUAGAUUUUCCUUGAUAUUGUGGAGUUUUCUUUGUAAAUCACUUUGAGGUUUUUUUCCUACAGUCAAGAGGUGUAUACAUUUAAAUAACUAAAUAGGGAGUGGAGAACCUGGGCUUCUCCAGAUGUUUUUGGACCCCAACUCCCAUCAGUCCCAGCCAGCAUGGCCAACAGAUAGGAAUGAUGGUAGCUGGAGUUCAACAGCAUUUGGAGUAGAGCGGUCCAAUGUGCAGCCCAAGAGCUGCAUGCAGCCCUUGAGACCUUACUUGGUGGCCCUUGGCAACAUUUCAUGACCCCCUGCCCAGUCCUCACAAUGCUUUCGCAAAGCUGCAUAAGACAGGCACCAGGCUUUGGGAAGGAGGCAUUAGGGCUCUGGCAUGGUCCUAGAGUCUGCCCACCUCCUUCCCAAAGCCUAGUUAGCACUUUCCUAGCUUUGGGAAGGAGAUGGGAGGGCUCUAGGACCUGCCAGAGCCUUGUGCCUCCUUCUCAAUCCUGACCGCUUGCUUAGCUGGCAUUGGGAAGGCAGUGCGAGGACUGGAGGGGGCUGUCAAAUUUUGGCCUCACAACAAGCCAGUGUGCGGCUGGUGUCGAAAGUACUCUUGCCGCCCACUUGGUAUGAAAAGUUGGACUGCCCUGAUCUAGAGAGGUCCCCUGCCUUUGCAUUAUCAGCAAUAUAAAUGCUCUGCCUCGUUAUUACAAAAUGACAGCGGAAAGGAGGUAAUGUCUGGCAUCCCUCAUGUCCAGAAGGGAGUCUGCCAAAGGUGGAGUGGAGCGAGACAGGAAGGGAGAGCCAGGGAACCUGGGAGAGACUCGCUUCAGCUGUGAACAGAUAGCAGUCAGAAGCUCUGGAGGACACUAGAUUGUUGCAACAUUUCCUAUUCCCGUUGAAAAGUCUUUGAUCUGUCUGUCUCACACACGCACACACAUAGCUGCCAGAUUGCAGCUGUCUAGCAAAAUCCAGGAAAGGUCACUGGACAGCAAACAGGGAUGGGCAACCACAUCAAUUUCGGUUUCUCACACUUUUCCAUUUUUCUAGUAUUUUCAGUUCAGCCACAUCAGUUUCAAUUCUUCUUUUAAAGCCCCCUUGAAAAUCCACCAGCAUCUUAAUGUGCAUUUUUCCUACCAUGCACAUAUUUUUCUAUGCAGUUUUGCCUAAUGUGACAUGUUUUGGGAAUGCAGUUUCCCCAAAUAGAACUCAUUUUUUUGUAUACUGUUUGCAAAUAUCCAUGGAUUUAUAUGCACGCUUUACCCCAGGACAUGCAUUUUUGUACACGUUAUUUGGCUGGAGAACUGCACAGAAAAGUCUGGAGAAGGGCAAAUCUUGGAGGACAGCUGUUGCAUUGUUAUGAAAAGAACACAUUUGAUAAAUAAGCCUUUAAAUGUGAACUGAAUCAAAUGUCUCCUCCAUCCCUACUGGUCAGUGAUAGAAUAUAUUCUUCUCAUGCAUGUGUCCCCAUGUUCAGUCUCCAGGACUGCAGAGAGCUGCCUUACACCAUGUCAGUUUAUUUGUCCAUCAUUGUUGCAUACUUUGACUGGCAGCCACUCCCCAUGGUUGCAGGUAGUGAUCUUUUCUAUUGCUUGCAACCUGAUUCUUUUAGCUGGAGAUGUAAAGGUUUGAACCUGGGGCCUUCUGCCCACAAAGUAGAGGCUGGACAACAACAACAAACCUGUUCCUUUCACAAUUCCUGAGUUCAGUUCACCCCAUUUGCAUGUUAGUUGGCCAAGCAGAAGAAAAUGUCUACAGAUUUACUGUAAUCACAGAAUCAUAGAAUUGUACAGUUGGAAGAGAUCCCGUGGGCCAUCUGGUCCAACUCAUUGCAAUACAGGGGUCUCAACUAAAGCAUCCAUGACAGAUGGCCAUCCAAGCUCUGCUUAAAAGCCUCCAAUGAAGAAGAAGAAGAAGAGUUUUAAUUUGAUAUCCCACUUUAUCACUACCCGAAGGAGUCUCAAAGCGGCUAACGUUCUCCUUUCCCUUCCUCCCCCACAACAAACACUCUGUGAGGUGAGUGGGGCUGAGAGACUUCAAAGAAGUGUGACUAGCCCAUGGUCACCCAGCAGCUGCAUGUGGAGGAGCGGAGACACGAACCCGGUUCCCCAGAUUACGAGACUACCACUCUUAACCACUACACCACACUAGAGUCCACUACCCCCUGAGGGCAACUGUUCCACCGUUGAACAGCUCUUACCAUCCUGGUGUUUAGUUGGGGUCUCCUAAUGUGUGAGAGGAAGGGUGAAAGCUGUGUGGUAGAACAUCUGGGGAACAUCUGUGUUAGAACAUCUGAAGGUUCAACCCCUGGCAUCUCCAGGUAAAGGCUGGAAGAAACCCCUGUCUGAAAUCUUGGAAAGCAGUUGCUGGUUGGUGUGGAUAAUAUUGAGUUAUUUCUGCAAAUGGAACUUGCUCCCACAGGGGCUGUAAUGGCCUUAAAAGAGGAUUGGACAAAUUCAUGGAGGAGAGGGCUGCCGAUGGCUGCUAACCUUGAUGGCUAUGUUCUGCCUUCCCAGUCGAAGGCAGUAAGGCUUCUGAAUAACAGUUGCUGGAAACCACAGGUAGGGAGAAGGCUGUUGUGCUUGAAUCCUACUUGCAGGUUUUCCAUAAUGAACAUCUGGUUGGCCACUGUAAGAACAGGAUGCUGGACUAGUUGGGCCAUUGGCCUGAUCCAGCAGGCUCUUCUUCUGCUCUUAGGUAUGCUGUAAUCAGUGUGAGCUCCCUGCACCAACAAAUUCCUCUGCUUCCCCCAAACACCAACCAAGUCACUUUAAAACCUAUUAUGUUCUCAUCAUCUACAAUUGUUGCAAAUGUUCUGCUCAGUUGGUUGAAAGAGCGUCGCUGGGAACUGUGACGAAGAGGCUGAAGGAGUGGAGCAAAGGCCUUUCCAUCACUCCACCUCUUCCUUCAUCUUAGCUUUAAUUGUUUUCGGCCCUGAGAUGAUGUCGAACAGCUGGCCCAACCAGCGCCCCGAUCAUGUUGCUCCGAGCUGCUUUGGCUCUCAGCAAGUCGACAGGGAGGGGCUGGAAGGGAGGACUUGGCAAGCCGGCAGCCGCUCUGGACUCCAACCCAUGAAUGAGCUCAGAGAAGCGGGAGAGAGAGGAGGGGAGGCAUGGAGGGCCUUGGAAAGGAUCGAUUCUGUUUAUUUAUUUUUCCGAACUGAGAAAGGCUUUAAGCUGUUGACUAGAACCAGGCCUAGGAGGAGCAGGUGCUGAGCAGGUCGGAGACAAAUCUCUCAAUAAACUUCUUGCACACACCUUGCAGGGCAUCCUGAGAGAUGCUGUUUAUGUCCCUUAGCAGUAGGGGAGAGGGGACCUUUUUGUUCUCGGUUGAGGGCUGCCAGGUGGGGAAACAUUUCUAGCCUGAGGGCCACAUUCUCUUCUGGACAAGCUUCUGAAGGGGGUACAUUCCAAUGGGGGGGGGACCAAAUGUAAAAUGGGCAGAGCAAAGAACAGACCUUGGUGUAGUGGGCCUGUUCCUACACAGGUUCACACACCACUUUUUAAUCCUCCAUCCAGACAAGCAAAUGGUUUUUCCAGUAAUGUCAGUAGAUUCUUCAAGCUUGAAUGGCAAAUGUAGAAUUCUUCAUACUUUCGGAAACAUGCUUUUCAAUAUUAGCUGACAUAUUAACUAUUCUUCUGCAAAUUGGGCCUGCUCCUGGUAUGGAAUUGAACGAGUCUUCUCUAGCACUCUGUUUGAGUGGUGAUUCUGGAUCACAACUAGGAUUGUUCUCAGUAUCACUUGAUGCUCUUGCUCUCCUUUUGAAAGGAUACCUAUCCAUAAUCUGCAAAUUAAAAUAGAUAUAUUUUGAUACGAUACGACACAAUACUACGCUAUGCUAUGCUAUUCUACACUGAAAUGUUCAAUUGUUUCUUUGAUUGCCCUUGAAUCUUCCUGCCACACUUGCCAUUCUCUCUCCCCACACCAGUGUGGCAUGCCACACCCUUUAAAAACCACUGGGCCAUAGGUGCCAACUCCCUGGGGCCCUGGGUGCUGGAGCACCCACAAAAUUCCCCAUAAAGGGGCCGGGCACCCAGAAAUUUCAGUGCCAGGGCCAUGCACACUGCAUGGCACCCGCGUCCCCAGGCACCCAUGGAUGUGGGGCCAAGCUGGCACUUCUGCACUGGGCUAUGAACUCUCUUUGGAGCCAUGGCUAUGGACUUUCUUUGGGGGUCAUGGCUGUGGACUCUCCUUGGUGGGCAAGGCUUUGAGGCUGACAUGAUGAGCUUCUGCACUUCAAAAACAUAGCAUCCCACCGCUGUUCUACACACAGUUAAAUGUUGUUGCUUUUUAGUUGUGCAUGCCAGAGGCCCAAAAAAAUCCCUUGGCAUAAAAUGUGUUUUUGACUUGAUUUAUCUGGGUAAUGCUGCUAGCUAUUAAUAUGUAGUAAGAAGCAACCACAGCUCAUGUUCUUAAAAUACACUGCCAUUUCUUGCAGUUUUUACUUGAACAUAUCCAGCAUGGGGCCUUUAAACUUUGUUGAGAAUCCUACCUUCUCCCCCAACCCUAAGUCUCUCCCUAAAUGAAUGCACACUGAAAUCUAUAACCCCCAAAAUUUACGCUCCCACUCAUCUUUUACUGCAGCAAAACGUGAAAUGUCAUGGUGGGGGUGUCUGGGAAAUUCAGACGACUCUGCCCUGCUUGCACAGAGAGAAGGUUGCUCUGCAGACUUUUCCUUGGAUAGCGGCAAAUAAAGCAGGCUAUGGGAUUUGACCACAUCACGUGGAUGAAUUUGUACCAUAUUCCUUGGAGGUAUUGCAAAAGCAAAUGACUCCAUAAUAGACUUUAAGUCUCAGUCCACGUGGCGAGUGACAUCUGGCAGUUUCUUAUGUGCACUGAUGUAUCAUUCCUGGAAAUUAUGUUGUCAUGCUACGUAGAGAAUGGUUCAUGCCACCACAAUUUGGGGCUUGAUGCCAAUUUUUAUUUUUUUUAGUGCAUGUGACCAGGGUUGUGGGGGCGGGGGAGAGGUAAAAUGUAAACUGUGGGCUGGGACGAGUUGUCCUUGGCAGAGAAAAAAAAGUCCUGAGUCAUUGUUAUGCUAAGCUGCGCGCGCGCACACACACACACACACACACACAAGCAUUCCAGAGUAGGGACAACAGAUGGGAUCUCUGAAAACCACCUGGAUUUGUUCUGCUAAUGCAGGGGUCAGCAAACUUUUUCAGCAGGGGGCUGGUCCACUGUCCCUCAGACCUUGUGGGGGGCCGGACUAUUGGGGGGGGGAUGAUGCAAGAGCACCACAAGCCCAGUGGCUGUUUACCAGUGUCUUGCGAGCAGCAGGGGAAGGCAGCGGUGGCGAAGGGAUGAUGAGUGGCACGAGAAAGGAGAGGGGCUGCUUAAAAUGUUGGCCGCUUGAGCGCUGCUGCUGCUGCUGGCACUAACAAAGUUCAGCCCCCUUCCUCCUCUAGGCAGGGCGGGAAGAAGCCAGGAGGAGGGAGGGAGGAGGCGCCAGUGCCACCACUGCCAUGUAACGGAGAGGGAGGGAGAGGGAAAGAGAGUGCGCACUGGCGAUCCACGCGGCGAUUCCCGGACCUAACUGAGAGCUGCAUUCGCUUCUGGGUAGCCUUCCAGAGACCACAUGCCUCUGUUGGGUGGGGCCAGAGGCAAAAAUGUGUGGAGCAAUUUAUGUAAAUAGGAGACAUUCCAGCCAGGCAAAAAUACUUGCUCAAGGAUGUAUUUAGAUUUUACAUAUUCAUUUCAAUUGUAAUUUCAGCACCUUUUAGAAAUGUUUCAAUUGCGCUGGAAUGGCAUUGCUUAUUCUGCUGUCAUCUAUGGACUAACUCAAUAAAUGCUUUUCCCGGUUUGCUCAAAGCGGAGAGGGGUGUGGCCAGGGGGAGAGUCCUGAGGACCAGACGGAGAGGUCAAGGGGGCCAGAGGUUCCUAGCAGCCAUGCCCUACGGUUGGGCAAUCAUCCCAAGAAGGAAAAAAGAAAACUCUCCAGUUCAUGGGUGGGAGGACUGCGACGGCAGAGAACUAUGAGCACUUUUCAAACCCCAAAGAGUGAUUUUCUCCGCUGUGUACCCACUUUCUCAACACUUGUGACUUGAACAAACAAGAAUGAGCUUAUGCAUGUGCUGGAGGGUGUUUGUAUAGGUGCAGGGACCAUUCCUUCUGCUGCCCUGAGGGGACUCCAGGCACUGAGGUGACAUCAGAAGACCUUCCAAUGGAACUUGGGUUGCUAAGGUAAACUCAGGGUGAUGUCAGCUAACAGAUGUCCUGAGCUGAGGAAAGGUUUUGUAGGCUGGCUUUUACAUGUGCUAGGGCAGAGUAAACACUGCCCUUUCUUAGGAUAGCCAAAUCUCUUAAAUAACUCCCCUACCCCCUUAUAUUGCUGGUGUAACCAGCUUAAAGACUUGUUUGGAGAGUUCUGGCCUCGUGGCUUUCCUUGGUGAAAUCUGCCCUCUUCUGAAAAUAGAUCAUUUCCCCCAGGGUGGGGACGAUGGGCUAAUUAUUCAUUGCCUCGGCUUGCCAAAACACCCUUUGCAAGAGCCUGGCCUGAUAUAAAUUGGUGCUGAUGUAACGUUCUGAAAACAAGCGAGCUCAGGGAUUGGAUGGUAGCCCUUGGAGGAGAUGCAAGAGCACUGCGUUGCCCUGGCUAUGGGCUCCUGAUGCCCUCUCAGAAUGCACCAUAUCUCAAGAGAGAGGUGUCACCAGCAAGAUUUAAACCAAGCAACAUUCCCUCAGGCAUCAAUCACAAGCUAAGUCAGGGGUUGACGACUUUUGGGGGGUCCAUGAGCUUGUUUGCAAACUGGAGAAGCAGUUGGUACCAUGCAUGUACCAGAACUCUCCCCUUGAGUGCUGAUAGGUGCCCAUUGGGACUGGUAGGGUGGAAGGCAGGGAGCCCAACAGUAGAUGGUGCCAAAGCCAAUGAGAGCCAGAGCCAGCUAAUUCUAGCUUUGUUCCCCUUCUCCCUGAUGUGUUCUGCAAGGGCCACAACCACUAAGGACUUCUGCACAUCUGCCAAUGGUUGUCUCUGUUAAAGAUUCAUCAGCACCCUGUGGACAAUGGUCACAUCCAUGCUAUGCAUUAAUGCAGAUUUAAAGCAUAUGGCUUCCUUUGGGAACUGUGGUUGGAUAAGGGUGCUGGGAGCUGUAGCUCUGUGAGGGGUGAACUGCAGUUCCUGGGGUUCUUUGGAGGGAUGCCAUGUGCUUUAAAUGCAUGGUGUGGAUGUGAGCAACAUCAUGCUUUAACCCCCACGAUGUUGGUGGGGCCUCUUGCCAGGCCCAGUUGAGGCGCUUAUCUGUGACCAGCUCCCAGAACGCAGGAGCAGGUGCCUACUUGCAGGUAUCUCUGCAUGCCAAGAAUGACUCGCAGGCUGCUGACAGAAGGAGCAUUGCCUUUUGCUUACAAGAAGAAGGAACUGUGAUUCGCCCCAUUUAUAGCCUUCAUUUCACUCAGCAUCUACCUUUGACUCAAUCCAUCCUCUAACAUGGACUGCUUUGUACUCACAUCAACUCAAGCCGCUGUACCACCCAGUCCGGCCAGCCAGUCUGGGCAGCGGUGUUAAGAGAAGACAGCAGUGUUAUGCAAGGUGCUCUUUUAUUUAUUUCUUUUUGUCCAUCUCCAUAACAAUGUUGGCACAAGCCUGCAUCACCUGUCGAUUCCCUGCCCCGUCUAACAAACUGCAAACAGAGGGCACAGAGGAUGGAAUCCUGCUUUUAAUGGAGGGGGGUCUCUCUUGCUUUCUUUGCCCUUCCAUUCCUCAUCUGUCAACGAUUUCGGCUAACUGAAUCCUCACGGACCUGCUCUGGCCCUUGUGUUAAGGAAAACCAACACAUUAGUACAAAUGUUUUUCUGUGAGCUGCUGGGAUCAGUGAUUUAAUACCAGCCGAUAUUUGAUAGGGGGUGCCCAGGGAAUACAGACUGGAAACCAGGAAGUAAUAUUACAUGAAAGGAAAACAGAAACAUAUUCCUAAUGGGUUAGGUCAUAUAUUUUUUUCACUUUCUCCGCUGUAAAAUCUUAAAUUAGCUUUCUCCUCUUUUUCUUUCACACUUGUUUCUUAAAGAAACUGAUUGCUUUCUCUAUAGGAUUCCUUGUCAUCAGGUGAUGUGGCUGGAGCGUCCCACUUAGCAAGUAGGAACAAAUCAUUUCCAUUAGGUUCAUCUCUGCUCAGACUUCAGGAUGUGUUUUCCUGGCUUAUUUGAAAGCGCAGCAGAUUGCUUCGCCAUCCUAUAGCAGCCUGUACAUCUGGCCCCCAUUUCAAGCGCCCACCGGAAAAGUUUAGGAAAGCAAAAUACAAGAAGAGUGCUCAGCAUCUCGAGGUGAUCACUGGAUGUUGCCUAAAGCAAAAUUUCAAUGAAAAUUUGGAAGUUCUCCUUAGGUGAAACAUUGCAGGAAUUGGGAAAGAAGCUCAAAAUAUUUAGAUAAGACUAGGAGAGAAAAAAUGGGGGGGGGGGGAGCUUGAACAUUGUCAUGCAUAAGGAGGGGCAAAUCUGUUGGUUGGGGGGUCAUCUAGUCCAACCCCCCGCAAUGCAGGGGUCCCAACUAAAGCAUCCAUGACAGAUGGCCACCCAACCUCUGCUUAUAAACCUCCAAUGAAGGAGAGUCCACAACUUCCUGAGAGAGUCCAUUCCUCUGUCAAACAGCUCCUACAGUCAGAAAGUUCUUCCUGAUGUUUAGUCAGAAUCUCCUUUCUUAAAUUCGUUGGUUUGGUUUCUACCCUCCAGAGAAGGAGAAAACAAGCUUGUUCCACCUCCCCUUUAGAUAUGUGAAGAUGACUGUCUAGCAAAUUGAGUUCAGAGAGUUCCCCUACAUCUGUGUGAGGAGGAGAUGGGGAUUCUAGACUGGGGAGCGACAGGUCCCAGGCUGACCUGAGCCUGUAUUGAUUUAUAACCUAAUCACAGGGGAUGACCAAUUUAUGCAUCAUCAUCAGGCUGAAUCCUUUUUGUUGUUUUAUAAUCAGAGAAGUUCCACAGAAUUCCUAGUCUUUAUUUUGAGGAAUAUAAAAGCACCCAGCAUUCCCAUUCCAGCCUGGUGAGGUUCUUCUCAGCUCCAGAUUCAUCCCCUAUAGUAAACCCAAAGAAACACGCCGCAUGCUUGAGGCUUGGCAUCCCCUAAUCUCUCUGUAGAUGAUUCUAAUCAAUUAUUGGCACAUGCUAGUCUCUUCAUGCUUCCGGAUGCCCAGAAGAUCCUGUGCUGAGCGCAUCCAGCAGAGAUCAGAUGGAUAAAUUCCAUCAAUGGAGAAACUGGGGGUGGGGGGCGCUGAAGAGUUUAACUCAGUGGUUCCCAAACUUUCUGGGGCUACCACUCCCUUGGUUUCAUAAACUCAUCCCCAAGGCCCCCUACCCAAUAAAAAGCAUUAUUCGGAAUAGCAGCUUGCAUGACCAACUUGCAUGACCAAUAAAAUUCAGAACAGUAACAAUUAAUUGCACAUUUAUUCAAAAUCCAGUUAAAAUUCUUUAGUUCAAUUCAACAAAAAAAUGAUGAACUAUGGUUGCUAUAUUUCAAAAAGUAAACAUCUGGACACAAAAGGGUUUUUUUUGGGGGGGGGAGGCGCAAAGUUGUUGAGUUUCUGUGUUUUUUGCCCAAAGUUGUUGAGCUUUUUUUAAAUGAAAUCUCAAGAAGAAGAAAUCAAUUUUUGAGCUUUCUUUUUCCAACUGCUAAAAUGUACACCACCAUGCGUCCAGACAUUUCUGUGAUUUCUGUAUGCCAACCCUAGAUGAACCAACUUUUCAAAGCCUAUAGUCAUUUAUACCUCCAGUGGCACACCCCCACCCCCACAGGGAACCAUGCACAUCACCUUGAGUUCCUUGGAGGAAAAUGUGGGCUAUUAAUGCAAUAAAUAAAUAAAUAUGUACAUAAAUAAAUUUCCUAUGUUCCUAAGUAAAUGAAUGUACACACAGUGUUUCUAGGGUGCCGUAAAGGGGAAGAACAGUAGUUCAGUGGAAGAGUGCAUGCUUGGCACUCAGAAGGUCCCAGGUCCAGUUCCCAGCAUCUCCAGAUAUGGUUGGGGGUACCCCCUAUAUGAGAUCCUAGUGUAAAUGGGCCAAUGGGUCCGACUCAGUAGAAGGCAGCUUCCCAUGUUCCUGUUCAUAUGAAGUUUCUGUUACAAUACAAAGCAAGAAACUCAAUGGUAAGAAUGGAGUCACUCUGCAAAAGAACGCCAACAAGAGAUAGUUCGAUACAGAUUGCAUAACACUGUGCAAAAUACGUUUUGCAAGAUCUCAGCAUAGUGCUGACUCUGUGGGCGGCAGCCAGCAAAUGAUUUCAUAAAGUCAGUGGAUAAUUUGCUAAACUGGCCCCAAGUCAAUCUGCUUGUCUUUAUAUUAGUGAAAAACAGAAUAUAGCUUAAUAAAAAUAGCAACAAAACAACAUCCUGUUUAUUUAAGACAAGCACCCCCAAAUUCGCCCUCCAGAUGUUUUGGGACUACAAUGCCCAUCAUCCCUGACCACUGGUCCUGUUAACUAGGGAUGAUGGGAGUUGUAGUCCCAAAACUUCUGGAGGGCCGAGGUUGCCUAUGCCUGGUUUAAGAGAACUUUUCCUGGGUCUUGAUGGAACAUGAGCUCUGUGCAGACGUUCUUUCAGUGGGGUUUCCAAGAUGCUCCAUUUGUACAUUCCAGCAACAUGCCGAGGGGUGGGGCGUGUUAUGUUGGAGGAUGCUCACCAACCCUGACUCCAAUGCCCAUGCCAUGUGUCCACUGUCCUGACCUUUCCGCAUUGAGUUUCUCAGCAUACUGAGCUUACACUCAUGACUCCUGCUCCCUCUUCUUGUGUUUGAAUGCUGGAGGAGAGCAGGCCUCUGCUCCUGACAUGCCCAUACUUGGUCGAGGUUCUACAUGAAGCCUGCAUGCAAACAAGUGCUUGCAUAUGGAAGCACUCUCCAUACAAUCAGGAACCCUAAUUUAGCAGAGCUGCUGAUGGCAUGCAGAAAGCCCUCUAAAUGGAUGUCAGGGGUCAAUCAAGGCUGUGCCUUCCAGGUGCUCUCAGACUACAACUCCCAUCAGCCCCAGCCAGCGUGGCUCAUGGUCAGGCAUGCUGGAAUUUAUAGUCCAACAACAUCAGGAGGACACAGCCUUGGCUGCCUUGGGUGUGUGUUGUACAUGCAUAAGUUCUAUGCUAGUGUUUGGCCACAAUAUCUAUAUUGGGAGCAGAGAACCAUAGACUUAUAGUUGGAAAGGACCCCAAGGGUCAUCCAACCCCUGCAAUGCAGAAAUCACAACUAAAGAAUCCCUGGCAGGUGGUAAUAAAACUUCUGUUUUGAAAGCCCCCAAUGUAAAAGAGUCCACCACCUUCCAAGGUAAUCUGUUCCAUUACUGAACAGCUCUUCCGGGCAUGUGAUCCUGCCCUCCUCUCUGACCUUUAAAAAAUUGUCUGCAUAGAGUUGGAGCUCUGGAUCUCAGUACAGUGGUACCUCUGGUUAAGAACUUAAUUCAUUCUGGAGGUCCGUUCUUAACCUGAAACUGUUCUUAACCUGAAGCACCACUUUAGCUAGUGGGGCCUCCCGCUGCUGCCGCGCUGCCAGCGGACGAUUUCUGUUCUCCUCCUGAAGCAAAGUUCUUAACCCGAGGUACUAUUUCUGGCUUAGCGGAGUCUGUAACCUGAAGCAUCUGUAACCUGAAGUGUCUGUAACCUGAGGUACCACUGUAGUGGCAUUCUUGGGGUUUUUUUUUCUGAGGUUGAAACAGCAUUAGACUGCAGCUCUCUUUUAGAUGAGAGGCUGCUGCCUUUGAUUCUGCUGUGUCAUCUAGUAAACAGAGUUUGGAAACAUGGUCACAAUAGUAUGGAAUAGGAUACCAAAAUAUUGUGGAAUGCACUAGUCAGUGUAUUGCAAAGCGUUUUCUGGACAUGUCUAAGUAAAGUAUAUUUAAGCAGGGGUGGGCGGGAUUUUUUUUGUUUUGUGUUUGGUUGAAAAAGCAUUAAAAGUCUUUCCAUUUUCAGUGUAAUCAUUUUAGGAUCCCCCCAGGGAUUUUAAUGAUGUGUUGCAGGAC